rnacentral:rRNA from 1 species
AGUGAACGCUGGCGGCAGGCCUAAUACAUGCAAGUCGAACGGCAGCACAGUGGAGCUUGCUCCAUGGGUGGCGAGUGGCGGACGGGUGAGGAAUACGUGGGAAUCUGCCCAGUCGUGGGGGAUAACGUAGGGAAACUUACGCUAAUACCGCAUGCGCCCUUCGGGGGAAAGCCGGGGACCUUCGGGCCUGGCGCGAUUGGAUGAGCCCACGUCGGAUUAGCUAGUUGGCGGGGUAACGGCCCACCAAGGCGACGAUCCGUAGCUGGUCUGAGAGGAUGANCAGCCACACUGGAACUGAGACACGGUCCAGACUCCUACGGGAGGCAGCAGUAGGGAAUAUUGGACAAUGGGCGCAAGCCUGAUCCAGCCAUGCCGCGUGAGUGAAGAAGGCCCUCGGGUUGUAAAGCUCUUUUGUCCGGAAAGAAAAGCAUCGGGUUAAUACCCCGGUGUUCUGACGGUACCGGAAGAAUAAGCACCGGCUAACUUCGUGCCAGCAGCCGCGGUAAUACGAAGGGUGCAAGCGUUACUCGGAAUUACUGGGCGUAAAGCGUGCGUAGGUGGUUCGUUAAGUCUGAUGUGAAAGCCCUGGGCUCAACCUGGGAAUGGCAUUGGAAACUGGCGGACUGGAGUGCGGUARAGGGUAGCGGAAUUCCCGGUGUARCAGUGAAAUGCGUARARAUCGGGAGGAACAUCCGUGGCGAAGGCGGCUACCUGGACCAGCACUGACACUGAGGCACGAAAGCGUGGGGAGCAAACAGGAUUAGAUACCCUGGUAGUCCACGCCCUAAACGAUGCGAACUGGAUGUUGGGUGCAACUUGGCACUCAGUAUCGAAGCUAACGCGUUAAGUUCGCCGCCUGGGGAGUACGGUCGCAAGACUGAAACUCAAAGGAAUUGACGGGGGCCCGCACAAACGGUGGAGUAUGUGGUUUAAUUCGAUGCAACGCGCAAAACCUUACCUGGCCUUGACAUGCACGGAAGCUUCCARRARAUG